UCAAGUGAUUCUCCUGACUCAGUCUCCCAAGUAGCUGGGAUUACAGGUGCCCACCACCACACCUGGCCAAUUUUUUGUGUUUUAGUAGAGAUGGGGUUUCACCACAUUGGCCAGGCUGGUCUCAAACUCCUGACCUCAAGUGAUCUGCACACUUCAGCCUCCCAAAGUGCUGUGAUUACAGCCACCGCGCCCAGCCCAGUAGAACCUUCUUAUCUCCCUCUCCUUACAUUUGCUUAGAGGGAUGAGAGCCUCCUUGCUUGGGGAGGGGAAAGCUAUUGGGGAGGGACAUUACUGGCCUUUUGUCUCCACCUCCCCAGUGGCUGCUCUGGUUGGGUGGACUGAGGGUUCCCUCCUGCAAGUUCCUGCUGGGUGUGGCUGUCCUCAGGAAACCAAGUCCCCUCUGUGGCCCUACGGUAAGUGGCCCUGGCUUCAGAGGAGCUUGCAUUUGACUAGGCCUGCUGUGACUGCAAUGGUGGUUUUGAUAUAUUACCCAGGCUGGAGUACAGUGGCUAUUCACAGGCGUGAUCAUCGUGCAUCACAGCCUCAAACUCUUGGGCUCAAGUAUCCUCCUGCUUCAGCCUCCUCAGUAGCUGGGAUUACAGCAAUUAAACGAUACUGCAACGGUGAUGCUGCCACUAAUUAAUUUCUCCUCACAUCGAUGGAGACCUUUGGCUAGUGGGGCAUAAUGGAAAAUAAAAAGAAGAUCCCAAAUGCAAGCAUUCCAUCUGUCCCUGAUGCGCUGGGAUUUCCUGCAGUCGUGUUUGCUUUUCACCGUCCACUGAAAGAUGUGCAUAAUCUGACAGCCUUGUGAAAGAAGCUGUGGAGACUACCAAAUGGACUCGUCUAGAUUUCACAUGCAACAUGGCUCUGCCUUCCCUGAGCACUCUGGGCCUUUCCAUGGAGACAGAAUGAAUAGAUAAUGAGCAUGGUCUAAUAAACAGAGAAGGCUCAGGAGGGUCAGAAACACGGUGUUCGCUGAGUCUGCCUCAUUUCUCAGCCUACUUGCCAAGAAUUCCCAAAAAGGAAGCAUUGGAGGAUCAUUCCAAGGCUUGAGGUCCAGGACUACCCACUUCCCUUGGAAUGGUGUUGCCAUCACUGUUCUGGCACUGGAGAAAGGAUUCUACAUCGUUGGGAGAAAAGAAAAAGGAGAAUUUGGGCUUGCACUGAGAGGAUUACCUUUGGUGGUCUGGAAGUGGUGGGGUUGCAGCAUUGAAGGCACCAUCUUGGAAGCAGAGACUAGACCCUCACCAAGCAAUUAACAUGCUGGUGCAUUGAUCUUGGACUUUCCAGCCUCCAGAACUGUGAGAAAUAAAUUUCUGUUCUUAAUUAAUUACCCAGUCCCAGGUAUUCUGUUAUAGCAGCACAAAGCUUAGACGGGCUCCUUACAUCUUGAGGCUCCAUUAUCUCCUGGGAACUGGGAGUCCUUAGGUUCUAGCCAUGGAAAGAGAAACAAAAGAUGGAGAAGGCACACAUGCUUCUUAAUGGUCGUGGUUCAGAAGUAACAAAUACUAAUUCUAUAUAUUCUACUGGCCCAACACAAAUGCAGGGGUGUGCUGGGAAUGGAGUCUCUGAUUGGGCAGCAGGGAUCAGGGAUCAAAGAUCAGGAAAUAUUCCAGGGUGAAUAUUUUACUAGGUGAGGAGGACCAUGAAUUUUGACAAACAGCCUUUGCUGCUCUACCCACUCCUCAUCAUUACUGUUAGACACAAAGAGAAAUGGCAGCACUUUUUGUCCAUUGAUUGUAACUCUUUCUUUAAAGACUUUUAAGGCAGAAUCUCAAUUCAUCUCUUCUAUGAAACUUUCAUGAUUCAAAGGGAAGUCCCUGCAUGGACACUGCCAGCUUCAUUGCACUUCUGCCUCUAUGCUUUUUCCUGAACCUUCUCCACCUCUGGAACGUACUUCAGGCUGCACAGGAAGCAUGGCUGGGAGGCCUCAGGAAACUGACAAUCAUCAGUAGAAGAUGAAGAGGAAGGAGGCGCAUCUUACAUGGCCAGAGAAGGAGGAAGAAUAAGAAGGGAUUCUCCAGCUGGAGCCCUAUAAAUUGGACUGACAAAAGACAGAUUAGCAAGAGAAAUGCAAGCAGCAGUUUAUUAGCACGUGCAUCAUGAUUACACAUGGAAGUACCCAGAGGUGAGUAACACAAAGGAGUGGUUAGAACUUGGGCUUAUAUACCACCUUAACAUAAAACACAGGAAAAGGGGUUUGAGACUUCUGAGUAGGGGAGGCAAGUCAUGGGAUGGUGACCAGGAAAAGUAUGGUAGACAAGAGUUGUUUAGUAAGGUGUGUUAUGUGGAUUUAAAUCAGUACCUUCUUCAUUGAUAAGAGUUGUUAAGAGUACUCCUUUUCCUGGUAUGGGAGAGGGAGAUAUCUCUACAAAUCUAAAUUUCGUUUAUUAGGGGAAACCGUGUGCCCUGGUUUUAGAGCUUUUCCUGAGACUGCUGGUUCUCAAUGGCCUCGAGCUCAAAAUAAUCCAUAUGCCAAAGAGGCAUAUUUUGGGGUGGCAUAUUCUGGUACCUCUCAGGCUACUCCUGACACUAUUUUCACUUGACUUCCUAGUCAUCUCAUCUGCUCUUCACCCUGGAUGCUAGAGAAAAUUCUCUGGCUCUGUCAUAACCGAAAGCACAAAGUUCUUUCUGUGCAUUCCUCUGAUCUAAAGCAUUGUGAUAGAUUAAAACUAGGCUUUGUACAAUCUUUCGCUGAUGACUCCUCUGAGUCCUGCCCCUCUGGAACACAGCCCAAGACAAGCAGCCAAAACAUGUCUUCACCUUCUCUCUUAAGAGCUUUUUCCUGACUUUCUCCCAUCUUGGACAUAUUUUAGUAAUUUCUCAAAAAGUAUUUGCAAUGGUUAAUUUUAUGUAUCAACUAAACUAGGCUAUUGUGCUCAUUUGUUUUGUCAACCACCAGUCUGGAUGUUGCUGUGAAGGUGUUUUUUUUAGAUAUGAUUAAUCUUUUA